GUCGUCUCAACGGAAAAAGUGAUUUAACACGGGUAAAUAGUUUCCAAAGGAUUUGUUUACCAAAACAUGGAAAACAGAUUCCUAGAGCUCUCCUUGCUCUUUUUUUUCUCCACUUCAUAGCUAUCCUUUUGGUUAACAGUGUCUGCCACACCCAGCGAUCUGAUUUGGAUGGAUUCUCAUGUUCAAUGCUAUCAAGUGUGUUCAUCUUGCAGCACAUGUCCUUUGUACCUCAGUAUUGCUAAUCAGAUCACAGAGGGAGAAACA
rnacentral:lncRNA from 1 species